rnacentral:snoRNA from 1 species
AAACCAUGAUGAGGGCAUUGAGACCAAUAGCCCUUGAACCUUUCCCAUGCUUCACUGAAGCUCUCUAGACCUUUCUGUUGAAACCCGGAGAUUUCGUUCCUGAUCUU